UACGUAGGUGGCGAGCGUUGUCCGGAUUUACUGGGCGUAAAGGGCGUGCAGGCGGUUUGUUAAGUGCAGGGUGAAAAGCUCCCGGCUCAACUGGGAGAGGUCCUUGCAUACUGGCGAACUCGAGGGAGGCAGAGGAAAGUGGAAUUCCCGGUGUAGUGGUGAUAUGCGUAGAUAUCGGGAGGAACACCUGUGGCGAAGGCGGCUUUCUGGGCCUUACCUGACGCUGAGACGCGAAAGUGUGGGGAGC
rnacentral:rRNA from 1 species